rnacentral:rRNA from 1 species
UACGUAGGGGGCGAGCGUUGUCCGGAAUUAUUGGGCGUAAAGCGCGCGCAGGCGGCCUUGUAAGUCUGUCGUUUAAACUCGGAGCUCAACUUCGAGUCGCGAUGGAAACUGCAAAGCUUGAGUGCAGAAGAGGAAAGUGGAAUUCCAUGUGUAGCGGUGAAAUGCGUAGAUAUCGGAAGGAACACCGGUGGCGAAAGCGACGCGCUGGACCUCUUCUGACGCUGAGGCGCGAAAGCCAGGGGAGCAAACGGG